AUCUGUGUUACAGGUGCACUUGUGCCUGAUCUCCCAUCGCCUGGGUAGCCAACACAGCUGCUUCUCCCAGUGUUAUUGAAGUGGAAAGUGCAGCACAGUUGGCCUCUUCAUUCUUUUCCAAUCAAGCUCUGCCUAUUAAGGAAUCCCAAAUAAAAAGAAACAGAGAAGUCCAGCAACAUGAGAUGGCAUCCACAGGGAAAACAGAGCUGAGUGAAUUGUGGCAGGGUUACUUUAAAGCAUGGCCUUCCCUGGAACAUCCUCCACCUGACUCAAUGUGAGCCCAAGACUUGCAGGUGCCUUUUAACUAUCCACAGAGUAAACCCAGCUCUGCCAGGCUGUGCUGCACCAGGGUCCCUCCUGCCCCAUGGGGGAGAGCAGCAGGAUGGGGCAGAGAAGGCAGAGCCUGCUGGUGCUCUCAGGGCCCUGACCACACUCCCAUUUCAAGACAC
rnacentral:lncRNA from 1 species